GCGAACCUGAGCCGUCCUACGCUAGGUUCUGGAAGCCUGCCGCCGGCAUGGACGGCUGCCCUUCCCCAAGGCUGCGGGAGGCUGCGGUUCCUCCGGCCGGCCGGCGAUGGAAAAUGCUGGCCUUGAAUCCUGCUGGAUGCGGUCGACCAGUAAGUCAACCCUGCCCGCUUUGGAGAUCUAGUGAUCUACCCUUGCAUGUGCCCCCAUGAUAGAGCCGUCGGCAGACGCCGACUCCGCUGCCCGCCAUGGCCGUGGGUUGCAGGUUCCGCUCCGAGCGGAGUUUGCGGACAGCCUGGAACAUCCAGAUCCGUUGCCUCUUACAGUGCUCCCGCGACGUGAUGCGGAUUGCUGGCUCCGGGUGGUCUACGCCGGCAGACUCGAUUGCUGGCUCCGGGUGCGGGCAGCCGGCAGCAUGUUGGUUGCGCUAGCUCUGGGAGGACGCAGGGUGAAAAUCGCUGUCGACGGCAGGGUUCUCCGACGAGAUCUGCGCAGUCAAUGGACAGGGUAAAUCCAGAGGCACCGGGGUGGACCAAAAGGUUACGUCUUGGGAGUGCUUCACCGGACAGAACGCCGUGCCCACAUGGGAUGAGUGCUUUAGAGCAGUGAAUUUGCAAGUAUGCGCCUGCUCCCUGCUCGUCGCCGUCCUGGCAUCCCGCUUGUCCCGACAUGCGCCGUCAUUCUGUCUCCGCCGGUGCCACCACUACUCCCUGUUCAUUGCUACCAGACGAGCAAGAUGUCCGAUUCUGCGGUGGACAGGCACAAGACGCCGACGGAGGAAGAGAAUAAGAAUCCGGCGUGCGAGGAUGAGGAGGAAAAGGAUCAGGCGAGAAUGGAGGUGGUUACAGGUCUGAAUUUUGAUCCUCUUUUCCACCUAUACUUAGCAUGAUUUAUUUUCAGUAUUCUCUGUAGUUUAUAAGCAGCAAAUGCCACCAGGGAAUGCUCCAUGUUGUAACAAAUUUGUGAACUCUGAACCUAGUCAAGUGCUUCUACUACAAGCUGUUCCACUGGUUGAUGAUGAUGAUGCACUGCUAAUAUUGGACUUGCCAGAGGUAAGCUCAUUUUCAUACUCAAGAAACAUGCUUGUGGCCCUAACAAGUGAGACUACCUGACAUUUUCUUACUCUUAUGCACAUGGACAGUAUGUAUAAUGACACCUGAAGCAUUUUGGUACUGCGUGUCAGUAUGUAUAAUGAUUUAUUUUUAGUAUUCUCUUUUCAGCUAAGAGUCAUUUUUUGUGGCCGCCCAGAGAUAGGAAAACUGUGUCUAGUCAAGACCUACUUAGCAACAAAGAGAUAGGUCUUCAGAGCAGCUGCCUUUGACUUGGAAAAGUUCAGGACUAAAAUUUGAUGUUCAGGAGAAUAAAAUUCAUCGUAAAUAUGGGGCUACCAUUGACUUGUCGUUCAUCGCAAAGUUCAGGAGAAUCUGAAUGUAUGUUCAGAACUAUGAAAUCUGGUGUUCAAGCACAUGUUCAGGAUGUGAAAUCUGAAACCUGAAUCCGAUGUUCAAGCUAGCACUGAUGUAUGCUCACUGAAAUUAUGUUAGUUUUAGAACUGCUCGUUGCUGCAUUCGAUAAACUGAAUCUAACAUUGUAUCAAAUGGACCAAAGAUUUGCUCGUUGUUGCAAAUCUGAAUGUAGUUUAAACAUUGUUCA